rnacentral:misc_RNA from 1 species
GGGAGCUGUCUUUAUUCUUGUUUAUUUAUCAGUUCAAACAGAUUGUCAUGAACAUGCUUGAUUGCCUUCAUUUGACAGAGAAACCAAUAGUAUAUAAAAUCAUGGGCAGAGGUCCCCGAACCAUGGUGUACUAUAGUGGGCCUUUGUACUCUGUAUCUAAUCAUCUAACCUUAGAUGCAGGCAUUAGUUUAUGCGUUGAUACCGUCAUACGCCGUUGUUUCAUGACAAUGCCCAUCAAGCAGACAAAGAGUGACGACGACACUAGCUCACAUAUGAAGUGCAAAGGGUUUUCUUCCUUCUUGCAUGUUGGUGUAAAGAGCAGGUAAACCUGCUUGCGCGAUGGUACAAGCAGCAUCAACAGAGGUAUAGGGAAAUUUUUGAACUGUAACAAGUUGCGGACCCUUGACUUCAAUAAUUGUG